GACGGAGGGGGCUAGCGUUGCUCGGAAUUACUGGGCGUAAAGGGCGCGUAGGCGGAUAGUUUAGUCAGAGGUAAAAGCCCAGGGCUCAACCUUGGAACUGCCUUUGAUACUGGCUAUCUUGAGUUCGGGAGAGGUGAGUGGAAUGCCGAGUGUAGAGGUGAAAUUCGUAGAUAUUCGGCGGAACACCAGUGGCGAAGGCGACUCACUGGCCCGAUACUGACGCUGAGGCGCGAAAGCGUGGGGAGCAAACAGG
rnacentral:rRNA from 1 species